AGUGAACGCUGGCGGCAGGCCUAACACAUGCAAGUCGAGCGGCAGCGCGUCCGACCACCCUCGGGUGGUCGGAUGGCGGCGAGCGGCGGACGGGUGAGGAAUGCAUCGGAAUCUGCCUCGUUGUGGGGGAUAACGUAGGGAAACUUACGCUAAUACCGCAUACGACCUACGGGUGAAAGUGGGGGACCUUCGGGCCUCACGCGAUGAGAUGAGCCGAUGCCGGAUUAGCUAGUUGGCGGGGUAAAGGCCCACCAAGGCGACGAUCCGUAGCUGGUCUGAGAGGAUGAUCAGCCACACUGGAACUGAGACACGGUCCAGACUCCUACGGGAGGCAGCAGUAGGGAAUAUUGGACAAUGGGGGCAACCCUGAUCCAGCCAUGCCGCGUGUGUGAAGAAGG
rnacentral:rRNA from 1 species